GACAAAAGAGGGCUCAGGGAAGAGCAGGAUAAAAGAUACUUGUGGUCAGAGAUUCUGAAUCAAAGCAUGCAUGGUCACAGGAAGUUUAAGCAUGGUUCAAACACUGAUUUACUGGAGGGACUUCUGACAAUCCAGAAGAAACUGUCAGAAAUCUCCAGAGAGACACUGAGGGAAAUCUAUAGAAUAUAUAGUUGAAGCCACAAUAAUAAGAACCUGGCCAGCUGACGGAUGAAAAUGUGUUUUCCUUCUACUGAAAUCUCCUUCAGACCCUCAUCAAGAUGCCUAGGCUCGUGGCCAGUCUCAAAGUGAGGAAGUGUCAGCUGUGGAAACCCAGAGAAUGACUCAGCAGUGGUGCCACAGCAUGUUCAUCUCUGAGCAAUGUUGGGCUCUGAUGAUACCAAUGACAGAAAAAGACUGAACUUCCCAAUCCUUCCACACCAUCUUAGAGCCCAGAGGGGCUUAAUAGGACUUGUUUCAGAAGAGGCAAAUAGCAGUCCUUAAAAAGCUUGGGGUGGCACGAGAGAGCAGAGAUGUCUCUGCCCUUUAAGGAUAUGCUGGAAUCUCACUCACCCCUUGGACAACCAGCCAGCAAACACUUGGAGAGACCUGGGCCAUUUCCUGCCAAAGGCAGGCCCAGCCUUCUGCUCCCUGCUCUGGAUCUGGGAUGCAGUGACAGGAACAGAGAUGAUUGCUCCAGGGUGGCUCUGGCUGCCUUGGAGACAGGAAGCCUCUACAGAUGGUAGCCAGGCUGCCCCAGCACGGUGCCCACAGCUUGCAUCCCUCUGGGUGGUGCUCUAAGGCCCCACACCCUGGGCAGGUGUGCCACUGGAGUAACUGGGCUGCACCUCACAAACAAAUAACCACCUGGGAUUUGGCUUUUUUCUGAGAGUCAAAACAAAGAAAACAUGGACAAGCACAAGAUUUCCCUUGCAGAGGGAGAACACGAUCCAUUUUACUCAGCAGGGAAACCAGUUAAUCACUGCCAUCCAUCUACUUCUCUGCCCUCUGCAAGAGUCAGACGUUCUUUUGUGCUGGAAGGGCACAACAACAGCCACAAAGCCUGUCAGGAAAAUGCUGCUCUGCCAACCCCCUGCAACUCCUGCUUCCUUCCAAUGUGUGCCUUACGUGCUUGGGAAGGGAAUCAAUGCUUUUCUGCCAUUCCUGC